AAGGAGAAGGAGGAGAACAAGCGAGAAGGAGAGAGAGGAGGGAGGAGGAGAAAAAUACCUCGGGCGGAGGGGGUUGGGGUCGGUCGGUCGAUGCCGGAGAGGAGGUAGGAGUCGGACGGUUCGCGCCGGAGAGGAGGAAGAUGGGGGCUAAGGCAGCAUCGUUGAGGAGGAAGACGAUGGCUAGGGCAGCGCCGGAGAGGAGAAUGAGGGGGCUCGGGGAGUAUCUAGGGCAAGAAUGAGAGCUCGGGGUUGGGCGCUG
rnacentral:lncRNA from 1 species